GUUUGUAUCUUUCACUAAGCAGUAGUAAACUAUGAAUGGGGGUGGUGCCUCUCAUCUUGGUUUCAGGUCAGGGAAAAUGAAACUUAAAUCCUCACCAUCACAACAUCAUCAACUGAGGCAGCAGAGACAGACAGGACAAAGUAACAGACACCCUCUUCAUUGAGUUGAAUUGAGUUCAGGAUAAACAACAGAGGAAAAGUACCUCAAAAUUAUGACUUCAGCUCCUGAUAAACCAGAUUGUGGGCCGAUGGUGGUUACUUUUGGAUUCUUGACGUUUGUCAUUGGAAUCGCUGUUGGAGUGAAAAU